rnacentral:rRNA from 1 species
GACGAACGCUGGCGGCGUGCCUAACACAUGCAAGUCGAGCGGGGUUGAAGCGAGGGGUAACUCGAGUUUCUACCUAGCGGCGGACGGGUGAGUAACGCGUGGGCAACCUGCCUCAAGGACUGGGAUAACAGCUCGAAAGGGCUGCUAAUACCGGAUAUGCCUGUGGCCUCGCAUGGGGCUAUGAGCAAAGGGGAAACCCGCCUUGAGAUGGGCCCGCGUCCCAUCAGCUAGUUGGUGAGGUGAAGGCUCACCAAGGCGACGACGGGUAGCCGGCCUGAGAGGGUGACCGGCCACACUGGGACUGAGACACGGCCCAGACUCCUACGGGGGGCAGCAGUGGGGAAUCUUGCACAAUGGGCGAAAGCCUGAUGCAGCGACGCCGCGUGAGCGAAGAAGGCCUUCGGGUUGUAAAGCUCUGUCUGGAGGGACGAAGGAAGUGACGGUACCUCCGGAGGAAGCCACGGCUAACUACGUG